rnacentral:lncRNA from 1 species
UAUAUUUGAUUAUUUACUGUAUAUGUUUGUGUGUUUGUGGUGGAGGUAAAUCCUAGGAAAUUUAGAUGAGAAGAAAGCUUUAGCGAGGCGCUUGCCAAGUGCUUGGUGAAUCGCUUCAACCGGAUGCGGUUGUCGAUCUCGCGGAGUCGAGUCGAGUUUAGUCGUGGUAAGUCGAUCCAUUGUUUUCGUUAGUCGGAUGAAUGAUUAGUUGUGUGGAUAUAUAAGGCUUGUGCUAUUAAAUUGAUUUGUGUUGUGUGAAUGAAAUUAUUUUCAUGAGUAUGCAUGUCUUGUAUUAUGAAACUAAUUAAAGAUAUGCAUGGUGCUUGUAGGUGGAUUAUGCCUAGAGUAUUUUGGUAAAGAUAUUUCUCAAGUAUAAAUGAUUUGGUUAUUGUAUAUGAAUUGAGUGAUCAAGUUAAUAAUGUAAAAACAACGUUUAGUACUUAUAGCGCUUUGCCGAUAAGAUUUAUUAGUGAUUGAGUGAAUUUCUAAUGUAUGGUGACAUGAAUGCCUUGUUGUAUUAUGUGGUUUUAGUUCUACUAAAGAUAAAGUGUUGAGUGUUCUAAAUGUUAAAAGCAUGAUAAGUGUAGAAGUUAAAUAAGAUCUAAGUUAGAGUUCUUGCUGUUUGGACUGCAUGUCCAAUAUUAUUACGUGGCUAGUUAAGUAAAGUAAACGUGUUUUCUGUAGAAGUGUUAUAUAUAAAACUUGUAGAUAAUCUUUUUACCUUGCUUGUGUAAAAAUUUCAUGACCAUAGGUUCAGUAGUUUAGGAGUUAUGAUUUUUCCAAGUCCAGUUUCAGAAUCUGUCCAGAUUCUGUACUGAUUUCGAAAAUGACCUUGUUUGUCCAAGUUAAACUGAGAAUCAGCUCUUAGUAAUUAUAGAAGAAUUGUAGUAUUUUUUUUAAGCUUUCCAACAAAUUUUGGAGCACCCUUUUUGGUGGUCUAGAGACCAAGUUACAGCUGUUUGAACUGUAGAGUCUGAAUCUGUCCACAUCUGGACAGAGAAGUCUGUUUAUAUUAACUGACUUUGAUAUGCAUUGAAUUAACCUGAGAUGUUUAUAAAUGAAUUGUAGACAAUUCUACUAGCUUUCUAAAAAGUCUAGGAUCACCUGAUUUGGAUGUCUGAGACUCCAGUUAUGAAAUUUUUGAAGUGAGUAGUCGAAUUCUGUACAAAUAUGGACAGAAUUUACGUUUAGCUCUGUUUGACCUUUCUAAGUGUCAAAUCUUGUUCUGAUGAUUAUACCAAAUUUGUAGAGGAUUUUCUUAGGCUUUCCAGAAAGUCAUAGUUCACUAUUUUUGGAUCAAUGUUUUGUGAGUUAUGAGCAAAACCGUGGACUGCUGUGCUGCUGUCCAGGAAUUCUGCAAGUGUGAAAUUAAUUGAUUGAGGUUAUUCUUGUUUGACUAAGUAACUUUAGUUGAUUAUUAAUUAGCAAAGCGAUGGCUUGUGUUAGUAAUUGUCAUUUUCUAUGUUUGUUGAUUGAUUAAAUGUCAUAAAUCAAAAUUGAGCGCUUAAGUUAAUCGCCUUAAAUAAAUGUUCAUCAUUAUUUUAGUCAGUUGGAAGCAAAUAUCAUCGUUGGUCCACUUCAGCAAAUUUACAAAUAUUUUCACAGUGAGUAUUGCACGUUAGUACCUUAAGUAUGUAGAUUUUAAAUUGUGAUGUUGCAAAAGUCUAUGACCUCUGAUGAUCUUUUACUUGCUAAAUUAAAUGGUAUGAUGUCUAAUUAAUUAAUGCGCUAUACAAGCUAAUCUAAUGAAAUAAUUUAGAAGGCUAGUAAUUUACUUCUAGCUAUAUUCUGAGCGUUUAGUGUUCUAGGCUGGGGAGUAUGAUGUUAUUAAUCUUUUGGAUAUAAUGCACUACCUGAGAAAGUUAAGACUUGUGUAUAACUUAAUAUUUCGUGAUGACUGAUGUUUGCUCCGGAUAACUAAGAGACGUGUGAUUCUUGUACUUAGUAAUUUAUAAAUACCUAGUAUAUGCUUGUUUUUAAAUGUUUACAUUUGUCUUGCCAUAAGUAUUGCAAUCUAUCGAGGUUACGCCUUAGCUGAAUAUUUGUGUUGAGUUAUUGUGCUUGAUGGUUGAGCUGAAAAUAACUCUGAGUGUGUGAUUGUUGUAGAGUCAAAGUUAACUAGUGUUUGCUCAUAGGAAUUGUGGCGCUCUGCCAUAAGUGUUUUGCCCUCUUCAGUGUAGUUUACCUAUCCUGUGUCAUUUAUGCCUAUUCUUAUUCAUAUGCAUUUCACAUUCCAUUAGGUACGUUAACUAAUCGCAUGGUAUGGAGGACAAGAGAUGGAUUGAUCAUAAGACGAUGCUGGUAGACGAAACUAAAGUGGAUGAAUCAACCAAAUGCCAGGAUGGGGGUGCUCGUCAAGCGAGUAUCAUUUAACAACACUAACGUAGUGUUAUCC